GGAAUGGAGCCGGAUACGGUUGGCCGGGCCGCAUUGCUAAUGCGCGCUCCCCUCAUUGAGGGGGUGUGAGUUCGAAUCUCACCCUUUCCG
rnacentral:tRNA from 1 species